UACACAUGUCUAUUAAGUGGUGGAUGAAUAAACAAAAUGUGGUAUAUUUCUACAAUGCAACAUUAUUCAUCAAUUAAAAAGAGUAAAGUACUCAUAUAUGCUACGAUAUGGAUGAACCUCAAAAAACUAUGCUAAGUGAAAGAAGCCAGAUGCAAAGAAAAUAUGGAAAGAGUCCAUGAAAUAUCUAAGAAAGGCAAAUUUAUAGAAACAGAAAAUAGAUUAGCAAUUGCCUAGAUUAGGGUUCGGAGUAGUUAUUGACUGUAAAUGGGCAUGAGGGAAUGUUUGGGGGUGAUGGAAGUGAUCUAAAAUUGGACUGUGGUUGCACAACUCUGUGAAUUUACUAAAAUACACUUACAGAGAAUUUUAUGGUAUGUUAAUUAUACCUCCAUAAAGUUGUUUAAGGACAAAAAAAAAGAAAGAAGGGAGAGAGGUAGAUUCUGGAAUGUACUUUUGCCAAUGGGACCACUUAAGAGAUGGGCAGAAAGAGUGGUGUAGAACCUCUUGGAGCAAGUCUCAGCCUCCAGGGAGGAGGCAAGACCCUAACACCCCUCCACUGAGCUGAGUCCCAAAGACCACCCACUUCCCUCUGUAGGAGCAGGAGCCCUAGGCAGCUCUGCAGUUCAACUCUGAAGCCUCAGCUCAUCAUGACCUUCUCCCAAACUUGUCCUCUCCAUCCCUCACAUGGCCUGAGUAUCCUUUGCUCUCUGCACCCUCCCCCCAGCCACUGUGCCUCUAACUUGCAAUCACAACACUGCUCAGUGUCCCAGCGGCAGUGUCAGCCAUCCUUUCCACCCUCUACAUUGUCUUGGUUCCUCUUACAGGCAUGCCCUGCUUUCUGGUGCACAUCACUGGGCCAUGACAUGGCUGGGAGUUGACUUGUUGGGAAAUGGUCUCAGGCCUAAGGAAGGGGGACACAUGGUAGAAGGAGGUACUGGAUUAAGAGAGUGGGGGUGGGAGAGCUUAAGGAACAGUGGGUGGGACAUGGGACAUAGGGAAACAAAAAGACCCUCAGACACAUGGCACUCCUUGGCACAGGAGGGGCCUAGGCAGCUCAUGGAAGCCCAUCCUGGGGCCACAAUCCAGCAAUAGGAAGUGGGAUGCCCAGGAGCAGCUAAGGCCUUCUGGGGUUGACUGUGCUGAAUUUUAAGAAUUGACACUUCCUGGAAGGUUGACAUUUGCCAUUGGUUUAGUUAUUUACUUCUGAGUAUGAACCAGCCCCACAGAACUCUGAGCACAAUUGUGGAGCCCUUAUUACAUAGUAGUGUAACUGUAACAUGUAACAGGCAUCAAUUCAUUUCAUCCUCAUAAAACUCUUUGAAGUAGGCCUAUUAUUAUUACUCCAUUUUGCAGAUGAUGGAACCAAGGUCCAGAGGGUAAAGAAAGUUAGACAAAGUUUGGAAAGCAAUCAGCAGCAGAGCCUGGAUUGGAGCCCAAACAGUUGGUCUCUAGUUCUUGUGUCCCCCAGGUCCUGCCAACAAUGGGUUUGAUGGGGUAGGAAGCCAGCCUCUUCCAGGCCCAGUAUGAGAAGGCAGGAAGCCUUCAAGACAAGUUUAUCUGAGGGGAAGAAGUAAGGGAGGAAGGAGAGGAGUAGGAGAAGCUGACAUGCUUUGAAACAAAGAAGAGAAUAGAGACAGGAGAGGUGCCCCAGGAGACCCAGGGCCCCAAGGCCAACUGUCUCCUAGAGAGAUAGGAGCUUGUCAGGCAUGGCACCCAAAUCCAGCCCCCCAGCCUCAUGUUGAGCUCCUGCAUCUGUAAUGUGUACACAGGCAGAAACCUGGGCCAACAGCUCUGUGUUUCCUCUUGCAUCUUGUGGUUUGGGCACUGCAAAGCCAGCACCUUCUUUGGCCACAGCCAGCUGGGUGGGGUCUUCUGAAAGAGAAGUCUGUAAGGCUAGUAUGCUGAUAGACAAAUAGACAGAGGAGGUACCGCUUGUAUAAGAGGAAGGCAGAAGGAAGCAAAGGAAGGUUGUCCCUGAAGAAAUCUAAUCAUGCAUCUUUCUUGGGGAAGAUAGGGGCUUACAGAAGCAAGGGGGCUAAACCUGAAAGAAUCCAGUGACAAAAGUCUUGAAAUUCAGGAGAAUUUUUACUUUCUCCUACUAUGGCUUCAGAUUCAACCUGCACUUUUUGGUCAUAUAUGUGCUUGGCUUCCAGGACAGAAGACUUCUCAUAGAUCUGGGAAGGCUUAUUCCUUUUGUGGGUCCUGGUUUUUUUUUUCCCACCCCCUGUGAUUUUUGCAAACCUAGCCUUCUCCAGAUAAGGUACUUGGAAUAAAAGUAAUUGUGAGCAGGCACUACACAUCUCCAGCAUCCAGUACCACAAUACUGAGUUCCAAAUAGUGCCUGAAGUUAAGAGUGGGUGGGAAGUUGCAGACAUAAGUUUAAAAAUAAACCAAUGAACCACUAAAGAGUUACCCACCAUAAUACCUUCUUAGAGAAUUGAUGGCUGUCUUGGGCUUGAGCAGUGAUGGCUCAGAAUGAGUUGACCAUAGGACUCUGAGCUGGCAGAACAAUGUUAACUUGCCAAUGAGCCCACACCUCCACCCAAAUGGGUCCACGCCUCUAUCCUAAUGGGUCCAGUCUUCCAUUCAAAUGGGUCCCAUCCCUCCAUCCAAUUGGUGCUGUGUGAAGAGAUUUCUGCCCCCUGCUGCUGCCACAAAUACCCUGACCCAAUUAGAUCAAGUACUCUGAAAGGCUCUGCCACCAAACCCCAUGUGAAAGGAGACCUCAAUCUGCUUGCUGGCCCUGGAGACCAGCCAUUUAUGUAGACAGUGAUGGUGGAAAACUGGGCAGGGAGACCCUUGCAGAGCAGCUCUGAGAUCUCUCUGGGCUAUCCUCCUUCCCUUUCCCUUCAGCUUGAUUGUUAUUCCAAAGGCCUCAUUAUGGAACUUACAAAAUAAUGGUUCUGCGAUUUGUGCAUGUGAGACUGUGUGUACACUAAUUACGGGUCCCUGGGUCCCCAUGUACCCUCUCUCAGAGGCAAUGCGGCAGGAUCCAAGAUGUGGCUCACUCUUCACCGACAGUUUGCUUUCCCUGUCCUCCCAUCACCCCAGUAUCUUCCUUCUUCAAGAUGUGAGGAUAAAAUAGACCUAGUGAGUAGAAAUAGUCACCCCAAGCCCAUCUACCUGUAUCCAGAGGUGCCCAUGGCACAAAAGGGACUUAGCAGUAUACCCUGGCUGGAAGAGGGGGUGUGGAUCUAUAAUUUAUGAAACGUGCAGUUUUGUAACAGAAAUCCCAUUUAUUUGGAAUGGCUUCAGGGGGCUGUUGGGAUGAAUGAGGCAAACUGCCUCUGCAUACUGUAACUGUGGCAACCCUGACUCCCUGGUUGGCACUG